rnacentral:rRNA from 1 species
AGAGUUUGAUUCUGGCUCAGAACGAACGCUGGCGGCGCGUUUUAAGCAUGCAAGUCGAGCGGCAAGGGUCUUCGGGCCCCUAGAGCGGCGGACGGGUGAGUAACACGUGGACAAUCUGCCCCCCGGCCGGGGAUAGCCCAGGGAAACCUGGAUUAAUACCGGAUGAGACGGGACCCGCGGAGGCGGGAUCCGGGAAAGGCGCUGCGGCGCCGCCGGGGGAUGAGUCUGCGUCCCAUUAGCUUGACGGCGGGGUAACGGCCCACCGUGGCGACGAUGGGUAGCCGGCCUGAGAGGGUGGACGGCCACAUUGGAACUGAGACACGGUCCAGACUCCUACGGGAGGCAGCAGCUAAGAAUCUUCCGCAAUGGGCGAAAGCCUGACGGAGCGACGCCGCGUGAACGAAGAAGGCCGUGAGGUUGUAAAGUUCUUUUCGGGAGGGGGAACAACCGUGGCAGGGAAUGGCCGCGGGAUGACGUGAAUCCCGGAAUAAGCCCCGGCUAACUACGUGCCAGCAGCCGCGGUAACACGUAGGGGGCGAGCGUUGUUCGGAAUCAUUGGGCGUAAAGGGCGUGCAGGCGGUCCUGCAAGUCCGGCGUGAAAGACCCCGGCCCAACCGGGGGGGCGCGCUGGAAACUGCAGGGCUUGAGUACAGGAGGGGAUGCCGGAAUUCCAGGUGUAGGGGUGAAAUCUGUAGAUAUCUGGAGGAACACCAAUGGCGAAGCAGGCAUCUGGCCAUGUACUGACGCUGAGACGCGAAGGUGCGGGGAGCAAACAGGAUUAGAUACCCUGGUAGUC